GGUAUAAAAUUAGAUAUCAAAUAUCAUAAACAACUCUUUUUCAGAAGGGUGUUUUCGAACAGAAGAAAAUUUCUAUUUAAUUCGGUGUAGUA
ensembl:ncRNA F29D10.6 ncRNA